UAUACACUUUGAAAACAUGGAUGUGACUUUUUGAUCCCCUGCAAAAAAAAGAAGGGAGUGUUAUUUGUGUGUCCUGCUGUUAAACCGAUGUGUUUGACCCCCACUUCUUGAAUCCACAUCUGUUGUUGUGCUGCUGUGUUUCCUGUUUCACUACGGGGCAGAAAAUCUUUUGGAAGCACCGAGCCGCCCCAUGAGCCUCCGCUUCAGUCAUAUGAUGUUUCCCAUGAUCGGGUCACGAGAUUUCAAUUUUAGUUUCGCGAAACGUCCACAAAAAAAAAAUCAGUUAGGGCGAUUACAUGACGUCAUUGCACUGUUUUGACUCCCAACCCACGAAACGCGGACGUUCGGCAGAAUUGCAACGCGCGUUAUUUUUUUUACAAAUCAAAAUACUCCCAAUAGUAUUGCGAACUUUUUGAGCGUGUAGUUUGUCCACACGCAUUCUUAGGCGCGGAGUUCAUCUCAUCUCCAUUGAGAGCAGUGAGCGAAAUUUAGUUUUUUGUAUUUUUAUUUAAAUAACUGAAAGUAAGGGACUUAAUAAAACGUUGUGCUCAUAAUUGUAUCUGGAAUUAAAUGUUAUAAGUCUUGCGUAAACUUUACACUUUAAGUGUAUUCCAGCCUAGAGCACCUUUCUAAAUACUCCCUUCAGAGCGCAGACACAGAUUUCCGAAUUUAAAAUAAACAGGUUUAACUUCUCAUUUAUACCUGUGGGCAUAACCCUGCUCGACAGAGGAUUCUCCUGUGCGUGUGCACGUGUAUUGUUUAUCUGCGUGUUUUCUUUAUAUUUUCUGCUGCGUUAAAACAAAUUGCCGCUUGGAGGCGUCCUCCACUCUGUCGCCGCAAGCCGUCUAAUAAAAUACCACGGGAAACCUGCAAUUACAAGUUCUGCUAAGAAAAGCGAGAUGUAUUUCUGUGCCGCUUAAUUGCUGUUCUACAGAUAAAAUCGUUCUCUCAUUGAAACUCUUUGAUUAACUUCAUUAAUAGUAAGAAACGCCUUAGCCAUCGUGAGAAUGUGUCACCAAUGUAAUUAGUUCAACUUGUGUUGUUGUUCAGCGCACAUGCUAUCAGAUACCUCCGGUUAUGACACAUCUGCCUCUCGGGGAGAGAGAGAGGUGGUUUAGUACAAUGGCAAUGUUAAUCUUUAAUGAAGGGCCUUACAGACGCCUGGGUCUGAAGAAAAGCCCUGCUUUCUAUUCCAUGACUUUGAAAUAUUCAUCAAGACUUAAACGACACUUAAUAAACCGGUCGGUGACUUUUCUCGAUGGCUGGUUUGACAGAGCGCGGCUUGUCAGAUUGGUGACGAAGAAUUCGGCGAACGACUCGGUAGUUUGAUAGCUGUUGAAGAGAAAAUAGACUGGCUUCAGGCGCUCGAUGUAUUCCCGUUGUGUAUUGAAUGCCGGUUUAGAUCAGAUCUACUUUUAGUUUUGCUCUUUAGGUUGUUUAAUAGAACAUAUCGGCACAGCGAAGUCUACAUGUCACUUGAGGGAAAAUGUGUUCGUGUUUACUGCUCCGGGUGGCGCUGUACACGGAAGCCUGUGCAACACCGAUAUGCUUCCCCAGUUUGUUUCCUCACCGUGAGGAUUCUUACUAACUCUUUCUAUGUGUCUUUUCCUCUCGUGGGUGUGUCUGUGUGUGUGUGCCCUGAGAUGGACUCAUGUCCCGUCCAGUUGUGUACCCUGCCUUGUGCCCGUUGCUUGCUGGGAAAGGCUCUGGCUGCCCUAAGACCGUAGGAGAAAAAGGAUGGAGGCACUACAGGGGUUACUGCACCAGUCAGAAAACACAGGGAAAAAAGGCACACUAGUCAUCAUGGGAGCAGUCUGGAGCUUCACUCUUCAGUCACAGUCUCUCAACAGGCUGAUGUAUCUGGAGUCACUGAGCUGUCACAUGCCGGGAGAUCUCUGAGGCCGCUUGUCUCAGCGGGUCUCUCCAGGUGAGCCCUGAGGGGUGGCAGACGAUGAGCAGCCUCUACUGCAGCGGUGAAGAGAGCUGUUCGGUAUCUGUAGUGUCGUGCGAUCUCCUUCACCACAGAAGACAUUUCUGCUGUGAGAGGCAGUUUUUGGAUGGUAUGCUAUUGGGUGAAGGAGAGAGGACACCGAAGGACCGGAAUCUGGACAUAUCCCAAUCGGAACUCCGCUGGUAAUGAGAAUCUGCAGUCAAACGGUGUAUCGGUGAGUCACUCCACUGAAAAUAAUUAAUCUGCAGUGCCCAUAAAGCCCUGUGCCAAGUCUGGAGUUCAGCCUUCCAGCACCAUCAUCAGU